CGCAGACGCCAUUUUAUCCGGUCCUACUCCGCACUGAGCGUGGCAGCCAUUUUGUUUUGGACACCGAGCAGGAGUUGGCGGCGGCAGCUGUGGAGGCACAGACGAAAGGCAGAGAAGGGCAGGCCGGGCGACCAGGCGGAUUGGCCGGCUAGGUAGUCAACCUAAACGAACGAACCGCGCAUUCUACCGCUUACUUAUUUAACCAACCGCCCACCUAGUGCACCCGAGCCCCUCCGCCGUCAACCCAGGUUCGGCCGGUCCCCGGCCGCCCGCCGCAGCCGUGGUGGCAGCCCCGGGAGGAGCGCUGGCGUCCGUUUCCUUUGGUGCGUUUCGGUGGGAGGAGGGGAGGGGUGGUGGAGGGGGAGGGUGGCGGACGGCGGCGGACGGCCCAGCGGCUAGGGAGGCCGGCUGUGGGCGCCGAGGCAGCGUUGGCGGGGAGGCCGGCUGUGGGCGCCGAGGCAGCGUUGGCGGGGAGGCCUACGGGGAGGGGGCGGAGCCCGAGACGGGGCGGGGCCCAGGUGGUGGCGGAGGCGGGCCGGCCUCGGCGGCGCUGGGGACGGUGGGGGUUUACUGGGGGAAAGGGGUGCCAGGGAUUGAACUCAGGGUGCUUAACCACUGAGUCACGUCCCUGCCUGUUUUGCAUUUAUUUAGAGACAGGGUCUCCCUGAGUUGCUUAGCAUCUCGAUUUUGCUGAGGCUGGCUUGGAACUCGCGAUCCUCCUGCCUCAGCCUCCCGAGCCGCUGGGAUUACAGGCGUGCGCCACCGCGCCGGGCAGUGGUAGGGAUUUAAACGAGGACUGGUGGACCUCGUGGCGGCUUUAGGGUUAAAGUCUGAGAGGGCUCUGGAGAGCUGACUCCCAUAUGAAUGCUCAUUUAGGAAACCUCUCCCACUCAAUCCCAUAAAUCCCUAAUCCCUUGCCAAGGCCCCUGAAACUGGGCAUGCCCGUGUGUCUUCCCUGGAUCAGUGGGUCUCAACUUUGCCCAUUAGGCUGCUUAUUUCCCACUAAUUGCUGAUCCCUGGCCUCUGCCCCUGCCACCAGAGACUGGUCUGGACCCCUGGCAUCUGUAUUUUUAAACGUUUCUUAGCCAAGUCUUUUGCAGCCAAGGUUGAAAAAGGUUCUCUGUAUUAAAAGCCAGAUUUUUUUUUUUUUUUUUUAAUUGAAGAUUGAACCCAGGGGCACUUUACCACUGACUUAUGUCCCUAGCCUUUUGUUUUGAGACAGGGUCUGAGUUGCUUAAUUUUUGUCAUUCUCCUGCCUCCAGGCUCCGAGGUGGCUGGGAUUAUAGGCAUGUACCACAGUGUCAGGCUAAAAGCCAGACUCUUAAACAAUUUUGGCAGAUGUUUGCUGUCCUUGGCCUUAAAAUUUUUAAUAAUUUGAGACAACACUCAUAAACUCCUAUAAUGAGUUUUGAUUUUCAAUAAUCAGUGACAUAGACCUUUUCAUUCAUUGUUUUGGACUUGUACCUUUUAGAAAUAAAGUGGCCAUUAUUCUGAUUUCUUCAUUCUGCAUGUCAUCCUUUGUAGAUUCUCGGGAUUUGAAGAUGGCUGCACAAUCAGCGCCGAAAGUUGUGCUAAAAAGCACCACCAAGAUGUCUCUAAAUGAGCGGUGAGGCAGCCAACAGCAACUUCAGCUCCUUCCUAAGAAAACAUUACUUAAAUGGCCCUGGGGUCCAAUGCACAAAAACGUUGUAAGCUAAAUACCAACAGAAGGCUACAGACCUCUGUUCUUAGUUGCAUCUUAAUGUGGUACACAAAACCAAUUGGGCGGUUGUUUCAAAACCCCAUAACAGUAGAUUUUUAUGUUAAGCUGUCUGAAAUAUUUAUCUGGUGGGAUGUAUUUUAAAAAGACUCCUCGCGCCCUCUCUUUUCUUCAAUUUUUUUUCUUUUUUUUUUUUUGCAUUGAUACAGGGGUGGUGCAGCACGGUAGCAUGAUAUACCCUGGCUGCAAAAGGCUUGCUGCCCAGUCCAAGGCCAGCAGUGUUGUGUCUGGCCUGUAAGAGGCAGGUAGCAAGCCAUGAAUAUGUCCAAAGGCCCUCGAAUGCCAUUCCUGGGCCUUGUAAGAGGCACUUGCUUUGCUCCAUUUCACUUUCUUUCCAUUCUGCUUUUUAGUUUGUUUUUGUUUUGGAUUCUUUUAACAGUUAAGUGUUCUUCUGUCUCAUUCCAUUAAGCUUAACCAUGUCAGAUAUAAUAGAGAAAUAUUUUCACAGGCUCUUAAAUGAUUAAACUAAUAUUUCUCAAAAGUACUCACUUGGAAUUGGAAAAAAUGAUCCUUUGAAACUGAGAAAAGGUAUUUAAAGGCAGUUUCUAUCUGAGAGCUUUGUUCAUUCAGUAUAUUUGGCCAGUAAUCUUUAUCAAGUUGAUGUUAAAAUGUCUAUUUUUGCUUCUUCUGAAGCAUAUAUACUUCUUAUCUCUGAGGAUGUAGAACAUUAAUUACUUAUAUUCACAUGUUCCUAAGCAACAUGUAUUUAUAAAUUGAUACACUCCUAAAAUUUAUGUGGAUGUAUGAUUUCCCUGGCUUUGAAGAUGCUCUAGGCCUUCCUCGUAUUUGCCCUUAAACUGAACCCUUGAGUUCCCAAAGUUUAGGCUUUCUUUGUUUGUCUUUGAAACUACAUCUUCUGUCUCUUGUCAUCAUAUCUGCUUAUUGCGUGUUUUUCAUACUUUCCACCUCUCUUAAGAGCUGUUACCUGAGCCCUUGUUAUCACUUUUGAUUGUGCUGCACUUAGCUGCAUUUCUAAGUUUCUGAUUCUUGCAAGUUUUGUGGAAACACAGGAGUCUUUAACCCACAUCAGCCUUGAUCUAAACGUACCACUUUACUUAAAAGUUCGUGGGAUCUGGAGCUCCUGGUCUAGCAAGCCAUGAAAAUGCCAAUAAAUGUUUUGUAAUAAAGCUUUUAUUUAAACAUCCAUUUUGUUCGACCUUGAAGCUUUACUAAUAUGCUGAAGAACAAACAGCCGAUGCCAGUGAAUAUUCGAGCUUCGAUGCAGCAACAACAGCAGCUAGCCAGUGCCAGAAACAGAAGACUGGCCCAGCAGAUGGAGAAUAGACCCUCUGUCCAGGCAGCAUUAAAACUUAAGCAGGUGAGAGAAUGUGUCUUAAUGCUCUGAAGCAGCUGGUGGUCUGUGUCAGUCCGCUGAGUGCCAUGGAUGAUGACAGAGGCUCAGGGCCAAACCUGAAGCUUCUAUGAAAGGGAAGUUCAGAGAAUUCCAAUUUUGGCAGGUACUGAUAAAUAAUGUUUUAUUAUUUCUGUUUUAGGGAGUUUGCCAUCUGUGUGGCCUGUUUGUGUUAUCAGUGACUAUUAAUCUCUUACGUUUGGUCCUUUACCCUAAAAGUGGAUUUAAUGGAUUUUUUUUGAUACAAAGAACCUUUGUUUCAGGUUGGGGUAUAGCUCAAAAGAAGAGCACUUGCCUACCAUGUGCAAGGCCAUGGAUUUGAUCCCCAGCACUGCCCAAAAAAAGAGAAGGAAAGAAACUAUUUGUGUUUAGAUGAUCUUCAAAAUAUCCUUUACUUCCUGUUAAGUGAUCUAUAUCCUAGGGAAAUAAUUUUAUUCUUCCCUAUACAGGGAAUUUGGCCUUAGUCAAAAGUUUUCAGUGCUAAAAUAUACAAAAAGUAUAGUGACUUUUGUUUCCACAGCACCUGAAGUUUUAUCAGUACAUUAGAGCAAGAGUUCUGAGUAGCUAACUUAAGAAUUAGUGAGGUUCUCUUUCAAAUUUCCAGUAAGAGAUAAAUCUAUUCAGACCUGAAAUAAAACCUGCUCUUUAUUAUUCAUAGACUUUAUAUGCAAGUCCGGACAUUGGCUGUGGAAGGAUAUGUCCAAGCUGUGGCUGGGCGUCCGGAGGGCGAUGCCAUGCAACUGUAAGGACUUUAACUGGUAGCACUGCAUGGCUGUGCAUAAAUUCAGCAGUUAAAUAUAACACCCUCCCACCCUUAUUCUGAACCACUGGCUCACUGACCAAAAAUAAACAAGGCUUUCUGCUUCAGUUACCUUAAGCCUUGUAGGACUGGAUCCAUCUCUGACUCGGGAAAGCCAGAAGCAAAAGGCACCAACAAAGGACCUUUCAGCAUGAAGCUUUCAGUAUAGGCUGUGCGAGAAGUAACCUCCAGAGCAACACUGUCAGACGCUUCUGUGAUGAUGGAAAUGCUCUGCGCUGUCCAGUACAGUAACCACUAGCCACAUACGGCUAUUCAGAACUUUAAAUGUAGCUAGUGCUGUGGAGGAGCUUCAAUAGCCACAUGUGUCCAGUGGCUGUCUCAAAUAGCAGCUUUAGAGUGGAAACCAGUGGUAUAGUGGACAUCCUUAAGUGUCCUAUCAAUGUUAGAAGCCAAGAUUGGUAGCAGCUAGGGAUGGGGAUAGGAGGAGAACUCUAGGCACUGUGUAGUUCUUCAUUGAAGCAUAGAACUCGGGAGAAUCGAUAUAUUCAGGAAAACUGAACAUAAGGCACUUACAGAAUAUAGUCUUGACCUCAUGAUUGUGUGCUGGGGCUCUGAGUGUAGCUCAGUGGUAGAGCAUGCGUAAGGGUAUGGAUUUGACCCCUAGCACUACAAAAACAAAAUAAUUGUGUGCUAAGUAGAAGAGUGAGGACAGUCCCUUAAAGUUGGUUGCACCUCCUGUGCUAGAUGUCUUUCUCUACUGAUCAGAAGCGGCUUGUUAUCUUUAUCUUGUGCCUAGGAAGUUAUGCCUCACAGCACAAGAGGGCUACUAUUGGCCAGAGGGGGACAAGUUAUUUGUGGGUUGAACCUGAGUGUGCAUAAACUUCAUUUACAUUCAUGUUGUAGAAAAAUAGGCCUUGGUUGUGUGUUCAAAGCUACAUUGAUGAAAUUUCUUUUGAAGAAUUUUUUAAGAUGUGAUCCUCAAGGAUUUAUUUUUUUGAGAACAGAUUAUUGAAAAUGUAUCUCUGUAGUAUGUCCUUGUCCUCAUAUGUGCCCCUUUGUGGUUAAAGUUCACCUGUGUUAAUUCUAACAGUUUGGCUGGCUCUCUGGAGAUAUAUUUUUGUUUAUUUUGAAUUAAAAGUUAUAAUAUUGGCUUAAGGGAGCUGUUUGCAAGUGUAGAUAUGGAAUUAUGGAUUUCUAAGAAAUUUAAGGAAAGGAAGUUUGACUCUUGUGUUUAUUUGCAUCUUAAGGUAAAAAGUGGACCGUCUGGAGAUAGAUACUCAAAGGAAAAAUGGAGCACACUGGCCUCUUUGACUGAAAAAUCAAUCUUGUUCUUAAGUCAAAAGAAUUCAAAUGAACUUGUAAUUUAAAUUGUGCCCAGAGUGUGGUGAACUUCCUGUGGUGUUUGAGUAAGCCUUUGAAGACAGUAGUAGUUCCUGGGCAGGUAUGAAUUAAGUCAUGUCAUUGUCAACCUGGGGUUCAGAAACAGCAAGUGUUCUUAUUAAAACCUAAGUUCCAGCUGAUGGUAUAUGACUUCUAUAGCCAAAUCAGUGAGGUGAUUUGUGGUGAUGCCAAUUUCAUGGGGUCAUACUGAAGCUUCUUAGAGUUUAUGCUCUGGAAUUCUUUUAUAGCAUGUUCUGAGAACAAAGGUUUCUGAUUUGGGAUCCUUAAUGAUACCCACAGCAGGUUAUUUCCCGCCAUCUCACUUGCUUCCUUUUCUCUGCACUUAGAAUUGCCACCUCUCACUGAAUUGCUUUUUUGAUCUCAAUCCUCCAACACCUUUUCUUCCAGAAGAGCUUAAAGCAGCGCCUGGGUAAGAGUAACAUCCAGGCACGGUUAGGCCGACCCAUAGGGGCCCUGGCCAGGGGAGCAAUUGGAGGACGAGGUCUGCCCAUAAUCCAGAGAGGCUUAUCCAGAGGAGGACUACGUGGGGGACGUGCCACCAGAACCCUGCUUAGGGGCGGGAUGUCGCUCCGAGGUCAGUGCUUUGUGUACCUGAUAACUGUUGGGCCCUGUCCCCUUUCCUUUUCUCUUGGGCUGCUUAUGGACACAUUUGUUUAACAUCUUUAAUACUAAAUUUGUAUUAAUAUAAUUAAUAACUUUUGAAAUCACAUUUUUAGUAGUGCUGCAUGCCUUUUAUUGAUACCAUUCCUUUUCUGGUAAUGUGCAAUGGUGAGAGGCUAUGACCUGCAUAACAGGUAAUUCAUGUCAUCUCCAUUUCAUUUUAAAGCACCCUGCUGCUGCUUGAAUCAAAGCACAUUCAAGUUGUAGAAAUAAGUCAAGUUUAAGAAAUGUAUGUUAGCAUAUAUAUGAGGCCAUGGGUUCAAUCCCCAGCACCAAAAAAAUAAAGAAAUGUAUGGGUCUUCGGCCUAUAUCAAAACUAAACAUGUCUGUUCCUGGUGCUAGCACAACACUGUUAAUCAUCUGAAAGAAAGAGAGGAAAAGUUGACCAAUAGUACUUAACCUAUAUCUUGUAAUUUGGGCACUGCUAUUCUAUUCCCUGUAUAGUUUUUAAAUUUGUUAAAAGUAUGUACUUAAUUAACUCCCAACUUCCCAAGAUGGAUUUGUGGUCAGAAAUGUUGAACUGAUACAAAUAAUGAGCAACUUAAUCUGGUCACACUCUCAAGUGUGCAGCUUGCCCUACCCAGCUUACGAACUAACUGAAUUACUUUAAUUUAACCCUCACCGCCUUCCUUUGGUUAGAAUCUACUUUUGUUUCUCUUGGAUUUACCUGCAUAUACAUUGUAUGCCUCCUCUCCAAGGUCAAAACCUGCUCCGAGGUGGACGAGCCGUAGCUCCCCGAAUGGGCUUAAGAAGAGGUGGUGUUCGAGGUCGUGGAGGUCCUGGGAGAGGGGGCCUAGGGCGUGGAGCUAUGGGUCGUGGCGGAAUCGGUGGUAGAGGUUAGUCAGCUACCAACUUCAGAGAGUAGCUCCCCCUAUUUCCUUCCUUUAAAAACUCAGAGCCACCUUUCUGCACAGCUUCAAGUCACAGGCAGGCUUGUUUGUUUGUCUUGUUUUGUUUUUUGAAACUGGCUUAUUUCCUAAAUUCACAUGCUGGUAGAUUGAAAGUCUGUCAUAAUUUUUCUAAGAGCCAGUCAGGUACAUAUUACAGAACCAGAUAUUAUGCAGUGUUCCCCUAGGUUCUUACAGAUUUAAAUUUUAAAAAUUUUAAAUAACAAAGUGGUUAGUUUGGAAUUUUGUCUUUUACUAUUUCUGCCCCAUCACUACCACAUGCCCAUCUUCUAGCUUAAAACCUCACAUUAACUCAGAUAAGAAUAGAGGAGGCAUCGCUUCUCGGCCUUUUGGCUAAGAUCAAGUGAUGAAGAAUAGAGGAGGCAGCCUGGGGGUAUGGCCCCUGGCUUCAAUCCCCACUACCCUACACAAACACAAAAAAUGUGAACAGAAAGAAGGUAGUAAGAGGCUGGGAAUAUAGGUCAGUGGUAGAGCUCAUGCUUAGCACCAUGAGGCCCUGGGUUCCAUCCCCAGCAUGGGGAGUGAAAGUCAAAGAGGGUGGGACUUGGCGCUGAGCAGUGGCUCUGAAAUAAGUGAAGUUUCUGCUUAUGGGGAACCAGAGAGGUUUUUCUGAUAAAGGUAGGAAAUUAAAUGAUAUUACUGUCAGUUAACUAACUGGCUUUUGCUGAUAAUCUUACCUUUGAGGUCUUGAUAUUUGUCUUUUGAUCUCAUAACCCAUAUUGGGGGGGAUUGGUGGUGGUGUUUUUGCCAAAUCUCAUGGGGGCUUUCUGACUUAGAAUUUAGUGAGAAACUCCCACCACUGUCUGUUCAAGCGGAACAGCCCCUGUGUGUAUUUGCUUCAUUCCUUUAAAGUGUGUUGUGGGUCUUCACAAUUUAUAACCCGGACAUUGCCAAAGAAGAUAUUAACUGGGAAAGGGCAUUAGAUGGCCAAGGGCUAUUUUUUUCUCUUUCAUUAUAUACUAUGU
rnacentral:lncRNA from 1 species